ACACACACACACACACAAAAAUAAAUAAAUAAAAGAACCAAUGAUGACAAUUAAAAAGGAUUUACUGUGGAAAGGAUAAUCAAUUAUGCAAGUACAAAACUAAAAUACAGAUUAUGUGUCUUGUAACAGCACAAACAAUAAAGAAUGAUGUUGUAGGUGAACUCAAAAUGGCACUGGCACAAAAUGACCCCACUGGAGGUAAAGAAAAAAGAAAUCCAUUUUUUCAAAUGGAGAGCUCUUAUCAGACACUAUCAAUGUUAAUUUUCAACAAUCACAACCUUCACUUUUUCUAGGUUGAGGCCAAUGAUCACCAUCUUAUGAUAACAACAAAGUCCCUCUGCAUAGUUGGAUGAGAGCAGUUUUGCAAAUAAGUAUAGUAUCACUACAAAUUAAUAAAUAAAUAUGCCUACAUAAAAAGAAAUGGCAGCAAACAAAUUGAGGAAGCUUACACCCAGAAUGGGG
rnacentral:misc_RNA from 1 species